GCCAGGCAUGGUGAUGCGUGCCUGUAUUCCCAGCUACUUGGGAGGCUGAGGUGGGAGGAUCACUUGAGCCCAGGAGGCAGAGGCUGCAGUGAGUUGAGAUCGUGCCACUGCACUCCAGCCUGGGUAAAGGAGUGAGACCUCAUCUCAA
rfam:Pan troglodytes isolate Yerkes chimp pedigree #C0471 (Clint) chromosome 8, whole genome shotgun sequence.